UACGGGGGGGGCAAGUGUUCUUCGGAAUGACUGGGCGUAAAGGGCACGUAGGCGGUGAAUCGGGUUGAAAGUGAAAGUCGCCAAAAAGUGGCGGAAUGCUCUCGAAACCAAUUCACUUGAGUGAGACAGAGGAGAGUGGAAUUUCGUGUGUAGGGUGAAAUCCGUAGAUCUACGAAGGAACGCCAAAAGCGAAGGCAGCUCUCUGGGUCCCUACCGACGCUGGGUGCGAAAGCAUGGGGAGCGAACAGG
rnacentral:rRNA from 1 species